rnacentral:rRNA from 1 species
AACCAGCUCCCCGAGUGGUCAGGAUGAUUAUUGGGCCUAAAGCGUCCGUAGCCGGGCAUGCAAGUCGCUAGUUAAAGCACGGGUCUUAAGCCCGAACCUGCUAGCGAUACUACACGCCUUGGGACCGGAAGAGGCAGAUGGUACGUUAGGGGUAGGGGUGAAAUCCUGUAAUCCUUAACGGACCACCGGUGGCGAAGGCGAUCUGCUGGGACGGAUCCGGCGGUGAGGGACGAAACCCAGGGGAGCGAGCGGGAUUAGAUACCCCGGUAGUCCUGGGCGUAAACGAUGCGCACUAGGUGUUGGCGGAGCUAGUGAGCUCUGCCGGUGCCGAAGCGAAGGCGUUAAGUGCGCCGCCUGGGGAGUACGGCCGCAAGGCUGAAACUUAAAGGAAUUGACGGGGGAGCACCACCAGGGGAGGAGCCUGCGGUUC